UCCUCAGGUGAACCUGCGGAGGGAUCAUUACUGAGUUUACGCUCUAUAACCCUUUGUGAACAUACCUAUAACUGUUGCUUCGGCGGGUAGGGUCUCCGUGACCCUCCCGGCCUCCCGCCCCCGGGCGGGUCGGCGCCCGCCGGAGGAUAACCAAACUCUGAUUUAACGACGUUUCUUCUGAGUGGUACAAGCAAAUAAUCAAAACUUUUAACAACGGAUCUCUUGGUUCUGGCAUCGAUGAAGAACGCAGCGAAAUGCGAUAAGUAAUGUGAAUUGCAGAAUUCAGUGAAUCAUCGAAUCUUUGAACGCACAUUGCGCCCGCCAGCAUUCUGGCGGGCAUGCCUGUUCGAGCGUCAUUUCAACCCUCAAGCUCUGCUUGGUGUUGGGGCCCUACAGCUGAUGUAGGCCCUCAAAGGUAGUGGCGGACCCUCCCGGAGCCUCCUUUGCGUAGUAACUUUACGUCUCGCACUGGGAUCCGGAGGGACUCUUGCCGUAAAACCCCCAAUUUUCCAAAGGUUGACCUCGGAUCAGGUAGGAAUACCCGCGAACUACCCGGGCCUUCCU
rnacentral:rRNA from 1 species